CCCUUAGAUGUUCUGGGCUGCACACGUGCUACACUGGCAGGUUCAGCGAGCUUCAUGCCCUGAUCUGAAAGGAAUGGGAAAUCUUUUCAAAACCUGCCGUGCUUGGGAUAGAUGUUUGCAAUUAUUCAUCUUCAACGAGGAUUGCCUUGUAAGCGCACGUCAUCAGCGUGCAUUGAAUACGACCCUGUUUUCUGUACACACCGCCCGUCGCUCCUACCGAUUGAAGUUUUCGGUGAGUUGACAGGAGGAUUUUUUUGAAACUGGUUCGCCAGUGGAUUUUAGAUCCAAAUGCCAACGAAUCGAUGGCUUUAGAGGAAGGAGAAGUCGUAACA
rnacentral:rRNA from 1 species